UAACUACUGAUUUUGUGUUCUAUU
rnacentral:siRNA from 1 species